GCACAACACCUGGAGCAGCAGCCACAGCUGAGCCCACUGCAGCUGAAAUACCAGAGACAGCCUCACCUGCUGCAUCAGUCCCUCCACCUCCUGAAACAGCAGCCAUUGUCACUGCCAAUCCACAGACAAACGCAGCAACUACAGGCUCAGCAGAGCUCGUUCCCCUGCCUAACUAUGUGAAGCUCUUGUUGCUGAAAUACCUAAACAGCCUGUGCCAGCCAAGGAGACCUGGGAUGCCAGAAGUAACAUUGGAAGGGUGUGUAAAGGAUCCAACCUGUGGGAAUCAGCCUUCACCAGGCCAGAGGCUCAUCCAGCUCCGUCACGGGGCUGCUGUAAACCCCAGACUCUGCCUGAGGUGCAAAGUAUCAGGGUGCAAUGCACCCCCUCCUCCUCCUCCUCCUCCUCCCAGACCCUUCCCAGGCGGCAGGCUCCCUCCUCUCAGACCCUUCCCAGUGAACAGGUUCCCUCCUCUCAGACCCUUCCCAGGGAACAGGCUCCCCCCUGUCAGACCCUUCCCAGGGAACAGGCUCCCCCCUCUCAGACCUUUCCCAGUGAACAGGCUCCCUCCUCCCAGACCCUUCCCAUGGAACAGGAGAAGAGCCAGGAGAAGCGCAAGCGACGUCGUUAUUGUCAUCGUCUCCUAGUAAGGAUGCUUCUGACCAUGACGUUAUGUUGAGCACCUCUAGACCUGUUCAUUGUGUUCCAAGAUCUGCUGCUCAUUCCUAAAAAUAUGCUAGUGGGUGUAAAUCUAAAGGUAUUUCAUCUUAAAUUAACUUGGGUGCCUUAAAUUCAGAUCUUUCGAAUCGAUGCAGCGGAUCUUGUAAAAGCCUGAACUUCAAUAAAUACUCUCAGUGACAAAAAUAAUUGGACCGACUGCCUGUUUUUUCUCAAGAUUUUGUUUCCUUCUCAAUGUUGCUUCAGUUCUAAUUGUGCUCAGUUCACAUAAAACUCCACCACACUCCUAACCCUGUGCUCUGCUUCUCACAGGUAUUGAUUUAAAAGGCAUUGGGUUCUGGAGCAUUGACUGGCAGGGAUCCACAGGCCAGCUCACACAUUCACUGCAGAGUCACAUCCUCCUCUCAGACCCUUCCUCCUCUCAGACCCUUCCCAGUGAACAGGCUCCCCCCUCUCAGACCCUUCCCAGUGAACAGGUUCCCUCCUCCCAGACCCUUCCCAUGGAACAGGAGAAGCGCAAGCGACGUCGUUAUUGUCAUCGUCUCCUAGUAAUGAUGCUUCUGACCAUGACGUUAUGUUGAGCACCUCUAGACCUGUUCAUUGUGUUCCAAGAUCUGCUGCUCAUUCCUAAAAAUAUGCUAGUGGGUGUAAAUCUAAAGGUAUUUCAUCUUAAAUUAACUUGGGUGCCUUAAAUUCAGAUCUUUCGAAUCGAUGCAGCGGAUCUUGUAAA